UACAGAGGUCUCAAGCGUUGUUCGGAUUCAUUGGGCGUAAAGGGUGCGUAGGUGGCGUGGUAAGUCGGAUGUGAAAUCCCGGGGCUCAACCCCGGAACUGCAUUCGAUACUGCCAUGCUAGAGUACUGGAGAGGAGAUUGGAAUUUACGGUGUAGCAGUGAAAUGCGUAGAUAUCGUAAGGAAGACCAGUGGCGAAGGCGGAUCUCUGGACAGUUACUGACACUGAGCACGAAGGCCAGGGGAGCGAAACGGGG
rnacentral:rRNA from 1 species